GACCCCGUCGUCCAGCCUGGUCUAGGACACGUGCCUUUCACGCACGCGACGCGAGUUCAAAUCUCGCCGGGGUCG
rnacentral:tRNA from 1 species